UGGUAGUCCACGCCGUAAACGGUGGGCACUAGUUGUGGGGACCUUCCACGGUCUCUGCGACGCAGCUAACGCAUUAAGUGCCCCGCCUGGGGAGUACGAUCGCAAGAUUAAAACUCAAAGGAAUUGACGGGGCCCCGCACAAGCAGCGGAGCAUGCGGCUUAAUUCGACGCAACGCGAAGAACCUUACCAAGGCUUGACAUAUACAGGAAUAUGGCAGAGAUGUCAUAGCCGCAAGGUCUGUAUACAGGUGGUGCAUGGUUGUCGUCAGCUCGUGUCGUGAGAUGUUGGGUUAAGUCCCGCAACGAGCGCAACCCUCGUUCUGUGUUGCCAGCAUUUAGUUGGGGACUCACAGGAGACUGCCGGGGUUAACUCGGAGGAAGGUGGGGAUGACGUCAAAUCAUCAUGCCCCUUAUGUCUUGGGCUGCACGCAUGCUACAAUGGCUGGUACAAACGGCUGCAAUACCGCAAGGUGGAGCGAAUCCGAGAAAGCCAGUCUCAGUUCGGAUUGGGGUCUGCAACUCGACCCCAUGAAGUCGGAGUUGCUAGUAAUCGUAGAUCAGCAACGCUACGGUGAAUACGUUCCCGGGGCUUGUACACACCGCCCGUCACGUCACGAAAGUC
rnacentral:rRNA from 1 species